AGCAGCCGCGGUAAUUCCAGCUCCAAUAGCGUAUAUUAAAGUUGUUGCAGUUAAAAAGCUCGUAGUUGAAUUUCGGGAUCAAAUUGUCGGUCGUGCCUCGGUACGUACUGGUAUUAUUGGUUCCUCCCUUCUGACGAACCACGAUGUCAUUAAUUUGGUGUCAUGGGAAAUCAGGACUGUUACUUUGAAAAAAUUAGAGUGUUUAAAGCAGGCUCGCGCUUGAAUACAUUAGCAUGGAAUAAUGAAAUAGGACGUUUGAUUCUAUUUUGUUGGUUUCUAGGAUCGACGUAAUGAUUAAUGGGGAUAGUUGGGGGCAUUAGUAUUCAAUUGUCAGAGGUGAAAAUUCUUGGAUUUAUUGAAGACUAACUACUGCGAAAGCAUUUGCCAAGGAUGUUUUCAUUAAUCAAGAACGAAAGUUAGGGAUCGAAGACGAUCAGAUACCGUCGUAGUCUUAACCAUAAACUAUGCCGACUAGGGAUCGGAUGAUGUUAAUUUUUAUGUACUCAUUCGGCGCCUUACG
rnacentral:rRNA from 1 species